CCCAACACUCGCAAAUUUCACAUCUCCUGUCUCUUGCCGAGGGUUCCAGAAGCUCUGGGGGCAGGGCCAGGUCAUCCCCAAGAGAGGCUUAGGAUGCCAGAAGGACCGUGGUGAUCCUGUGCAGGCCGGCUUGCUGGGCCCAGCCUCAGGCUCCUUGCCCGUAAGAUGGAGAGUCAUAGCCGCAGCCCCUGGGUACCGCCCACCACCCACCGGUACCGCCUGCAGCACAGGGGGCACUGCAGCAAUGAAGGCUGGGCCGACUCACACCAAUCCUUUAACACGCAUCGGUCUUGACUUCAAGCGUGAAGCAGAGCACAGAGACGGGCAGGUUUUUGACCCAGACAGCUCAUCUUCCAAUACACUGUCCUAGAAGAGUCACCUUGGGAGGCCUCAUCAGUCCUCCCACCUUACUGCAUGUGAGUGUCAGAGCCUUCCUGUGAGCAUGUUCCUGGAACAGACAGCCCGGCCCAACAGCAAUAUCUGGGUAGUCACCUACAUCACGUGACAACAGGACUCCAAGUUGUCCAACCCGGUUUCUCUACGAGGGCAGUCUACACAGUCCCAUCUCUCAGAAGGCCUGUGAAGUGUGCCUUCUGGUUCAGAGCGCUGGCCGAGCAGCAUAACCCAGGCCUCCACGUCCAGCCCUGAGGACACAGUCAUUCUGGAGGGUGUGCUGUUUAACAUUGAAAUGUCCUUUGGCAAUGGACGUGCUGCCUCCAACUGGCCCUGUCUACCGAAGCCUUGUGUUAGAAACCCCUGUGUUCGUAACUAAGCCCUGGCUUAGUCUGGAAAAGAGGGUUUUGAGCUCUGAGCUCUGAGCUGGGGGUGCGAAGAGCGACAUAAGUUCAGCUGGCCCGUCUGGAGCGUCACCUGACUCCCGAGGUGGGAGGCCCCCUGGCACCCCCUGGCUGCUGUCCACUUACCGGCCCCUUUGCAUCCCCUUCAGUUCUCCGAGCCUCCAGCCCCCUCGGUUCUUCGACGCACGUCAUUUGUUGUUCCAGGCAGAGUCUGUUUCUGCUGCUUACAACGAACACCUUAAUCGGAUCUCCCGUGAUCCUUUCUCCUCUUUUUUUUUAAUAUAAUUUUUUCAUUUUUCAUUUUUUUAUUGAGGUAUAAGUCAAGUACGGUGUUGUAUGUGUUUCGGGCGGGCAAUGCAGUGAUUCAACAGUUCUGUACGUUACUCAGUGCUCACCCCGUAAAUGUGCUCCCCAUCCCCUUCAGCUGCCCCAACACCCCACCUACUUCCCCUCUGGCAACCACCGACUCGUCCUCUGUUUUUGAGAGUCUGGGUUUUUUGACCCCGGGUUACAGAAAAGGAAAUGGAGCUCCUGGACAGCUUGUGUCUCAGGAAAUACGUAGUGCAGGCCGGGCUCCUAGGCUGGGUGGGGAGCCACCGGACCCAAAGAGAGUGUGACUCUCUGGUUCGACUUCCUCACCGAGGAACAAAAACCGUGACAAGUGAGAUGGAAGGUCUGGAAUUCGAGACUCCAGGAGCAUGGGACGAACCUCUGGGGAGCGUCUCAGGCCAGAUUCUGGUCCUGGAUGUGAAUCCAGGUACCACCUCUUCCCUUGUGAUGGGUGAUCUUUAAGCUUCUCUGGGCUCUUGGCCCUCUGUCCUUAUCUGGAAGUACCACCAAAACUGAGCCUGAGCCUGGCAGAUAGGCUUUUCUGUCCGGUUGUAAUGAGCAAAUGAUAGAGGCAAGUUGCAGUUUUACCGACUAUAUAAAGGGAAGAUCUGGGAAGCCCACAAACUAGAAAAUGAAGAGUUCUGGCCGGUGUUAAGCCAAGGGCGUGGAUGAGGCUUGUCCUCCUGGUGCUGGGGAAGCUCAGAUCUGAGCCACCUUCCGCCUAGUUGUUUUCUUCCAACAUUCACUGAAAACUUACUACCCACUUAUCAGAUGCCAGACACGGCGCUGUGUGCUGGCUCUCCACGGUAAACUAGCACCCAGUCCCGAUUCCUCCUGAGCAAGACAGACCCGUAGUCCGUCCCUACGGCUCUCUGGUGCCAGCACAAUGACCCUGGCUAGCACAGGGCCAGAGGAGUAGGGGAGUGCUGCCCUUUCUCUGUGUUGUGGGGGGUGUGAGUGUGGAGGUGAAGGAGAGGGGUGAGAGAGGCCGUGUCUAACAAGUCUCCCCUAAUUACUAUUUAUUUUCAGACAAAUCAUUUAAUUUAACUGGGUCUUUGUUUCCUCAUCUGUAAAAUGGGAAUGAUAACACACAGACAGAUUAAAUUAGGUAACAUAUUAAAAGGGAAAAGCCUUGGUAAUAUUCCAUCGUAUGGAACCAUUCUGGUUGUUCUCACCUGCACACAUCCAGGGCUCAUGGGAUAUACAACCUCGAUGGAAGAUACAGAAAACAUCACAAAGUGUGAUGAGUAUCAACAAAGAAGUAGGUUGGUGGCUGAAAGAAAAGUUUCUGAAGUAGUUUCCACUUAAGCAAGAAUUUGCCAAAUUCAUAUCAAAUCCAACAGCUUUCAAUCACUCUUCCCAUUAGGCUAUACCCACACGGCUAUUUGCACAUUGGCAGAAAAUACCUAAUUUGGCGUAUUUGCAAAAUGUGCAAUAGUUGUGUUGUGUUGCAGAUCCUUUAUAAAACACAAAUAUCUGUCUUCAACUCCAAGUUCACUUUAUGUGAAAUGCAAAUCUAAUGUAUGCAUCUGUACUAGGAAUGGGAGAAUUCCGGUUUCAGUGUAUGAAUCUAGUGUCCUUCUCGAUGGGGAUAAUUAGCAAAAGAGGGAACUAGGACAUGCGAAUGGAACCAGAGGUCAGCAGAGGUUUAUUUAUUCUUUUUAUUUAUUUCUCUUUAUUGAUUGCACUGACGCUCUAGAAGCGAUGAAAGAACGGGCCAGAGACAGCCAGGGUGUGGGGUACUGCCCAUGCACGCUGCGUAAGAUGUUGUCAUGGCAGAGCCAAGACCAGUAAUCGCACAGACUGGCAGCUGCCUUGAGAAAUGUCUACUUGGCAUGCAAACAAAUGGAUUACACAAACCAUGCUUAUUUCCUUUUCGUGAUUGACAAUAUUUUGUGAUUUAGGGAUCCCAGUGGGAGCCAGAAGGCAGAAUCCAGAAGAUACAUACCACCGAAAUUUGGGAUGAGUAUCAGACAAGGCACAGAAAUAAUACCCCUUCACAUGUGCGUCCCCUGCAACAAAAUAAAAUAAAUUUGCAAAUUUAUUUUGAGAUACA